AUGGCAGAAGGGAAGUCAGGAAGAUUCCAAGCACAGAAGAUAAGGGAGUCUCUUAGAAGAUGGAGCAGGUGACAUGGCAAGUAAUCUGAGAAAAUGGACUCGGAGAAAUUAAGACACAGAACUAAGUAGAGAGGACCGGGGAGGCUCCAAGAAGAGGCAUCCCGCUCCCUCUGCAGCCGCAGAAACGCCUCCAGGACGCCUUCUCUGGCGCUGAGCCUCGAGGGUUCAGCGGAAAGUGAGAAAGGCCCAAAACAAAGGGGCUUAAUCCAGAGGGAAGGUGAUUUCUCUUUCAUGUCAAAGUGGAGAUGUGGGCCAUCAUGUGGUGUGGCAGCGCCUUUCCGCAGGUCCCUCAGGGACCCAAGUUCCUUUAGGCUUCCUUCUCAUCAUUCCCAGGGUAUGGCCUUCAUCCGCAUCAUCCAAGAUGGCGCACCAGCCAUCACAGCCUUAUUCCAAGCAGAACAAUCAGGGGAAAUUUGGACACAAAGACAGACAUGAGCACAGGGAGAACUCCACGUAAAGAGUGAAGCAGAGAUCGGGAUGAUGGCAAGGAACACCAAAGGUUGCCAGCAAACCACCAGAAGCUAGGAAAGAGGCAUGGAACAGAUUCGCCCUCCCAGCUCUCUAAAGGAAGCAGCCCUGCUGACGCUUCGAUCUCAGACUUCUGCCCUCCAGAACUGUGAGACAAUAAAUCUCUGUUGCUUAAGCCAUCCAGUUCGGAGUUCUUUGUUACAGCAGCCCUAGCCAACUGAUACAGCAUACUUAUAAGAAAUGAAAGACUAUGACGACCUCAAAGGAUUUUCACAAUCGUUCGCACCUCAAAGAAAGUGUUUUAAUCCCACUUUGUUGUCACAACCAAAAGAAAGGCUUUUUUGGUCUACACAGCCUGAGCAGCAGGCAGAAGAAGCUCUGGAGGCUGCCGAACAGGGAGGACCUGGAGAAGCAGGGCGAGGAGUGGCUGUUUCUAUGAUGCUGGCAGUGACUAUCUCCUAUCCUCCAUCCAAUCAGAGGAAACCAACUUUAUUAACAGCGCGUCUCCUACGAGCACCUUCAAUAAUAAUUUUGGCUUAUAGUCAGUGAUGUUGUAGCAAAUGUAAGGUAAAUACAUGUACAAUAAAUUGGUCUUCAAA
ensembl:lncRNA